rnacentral:tRNA from 1 species
GCCUGGUUGGCUCAGUCAGUAGAGCAUGGGACUCUCAAUCUCAGGGCCAUGAGGUCAAGCCCCAUGGGCA